ensembl:rRNA 5S_rRNA 5S ribosomal RNA
GUCUACGGCCAUAACAUCCUGAACAGGCCCAAUCUUGUCUGAUCUCGGAAGCUAACCAGGGUUGCACCUGGUUAGUACUUGGAUGGGAAAAAGAGGUUUCUCAGGGCCCAUGGGAAAGGCAGGGGCUGGGGAGA